CAGUAGCCACGGGAAUACGUAGGGUGCAAGCGUUAUCCGGAAUUAUUGGGCGUAAAGAGCUCGUAGGCGGUUUGUCGCGUCUGCUGUGAAAACUGGAGGCUCAACCUCCAGCCUGCAGUGGGUACGGGCAGACUAGAGUGCGGUAGGGGAGAUUGGAAUUCCUGGUGUAGCGGUGGAAUGCGCAGAUAUCAGGAGGAACACCGAUGGCGAAGGCAGAUCUCUGGGCCGUAACUGACGCUGAGGAGCGAAAGCGUGGGGAGCGAACAGGAUUAGAGACCCGUGUAGUCCCUGUCUCUUAUAA
rnacentral:rRNA from 1 species